CCAGACUCCUACGGGAGGCAGCAGUGGGGAAUAUUGCACAAUGGGCGCAAGCCUGAUGCAGCGACGCCGCGUGAGGGAUGGAGGCCUUCGGGUUGUAAACCUCUUUCGCCAGUGAAGCAGGCCUGCUCCUUGUGGGUGGGUUGACGGUAGCUGGAUAAGAAGCGCCGGCUAACUACGUGCCAGCAGCCGCGGUAAUACGUAGGGCGCGAGCGUUGUCCGGAAUUAUUGGGCGUAAAGAGCUCGUAGGCGGCUGGUCGCGUCUGUCGUGAAAUCCUCUGGCUUAACUGGGGGCUUGCGGUGGGUACGGGCCGGCUUGAGUGCGGUAGGGGAGACUGGAACUCCUGGUGUAGCGGUGGAAUGCGCAGAUAUCAGGAAGAACACCGGUGGCGAAGGCGGGUCUCUGGGCCGUUACUGACGCUGAGGAGCGAAAGCGUGGGGAGCGAACAGGAUUAGAUACCCUGGUAGUCCACGCCGUAAACGUUGGGCACUAGGUGUGGGGGGCCUUUUCCGGGUCUUCCGCGCCGUAGCUAACGCAUUAAGUGCCCCGCCUGGGGAGUACGGCCGCAAGGCUAAAACUCAAAGGAAUUGACGGGGGCCCGCACAAG
rnacentral:rRNA from 1 species